rnacentral:rRNA from 1 species
AGCGAACGCUGGCGGCAGGCCUAACACAUGCAAGUCGAACGGAUCCUUCGGGAUUAGUGGCGGACGGGUGAGUAACACGUGGGAACGUGCCCUUUGGUUCGGAACAACUCAGGGAAACUUGAGCUAAUACCGGAUGUGCCCUUCGGGGAAAGAUUUAUCGCCAUUGGAGCGGCCCGCGUCUGAUUAGCUAGUUGGUGGGGUAAAGGCCCACCAAGGCGACGAUCAGUAGCUGGUCUGAGAGGAUGAUCAGCCACAUUGGGACUGAGACACGGCCCAAACUCCUACGGGAGGCAGCAGUGGGGAAUCUUGCGCAAUGGGCGAAAGCCUGACGCAGCCAUGCCGCGUGAAUGAUGAAGGUCUUAGGAUUGUAAAAUUCUUUCACCGGGGACGAUAAUGACGGUACCCGGAGAAGAAGCCCCGGCUAACUUCGUGCCAGCAGCCGCAAGU